UACGAAGGGGGCUAGCGUUGCUCGGAAUCACUGGGCGUAAAGCGCACGUAGGCGGCUUUUUAAGUCAGGGGUGAAAUCCUGGAGCUCAACUCCAGAACUGCCUUUGAUACUGGGAAGCUUGAGUCCGGAAGAGGUGAGUGGAACUCCGAGUGUAGAGGUGAAAUUCGUAGAUAUUCGGAAGAACACCAGUGGCGAAGGCGGCUCACUGGCCCGGUACUGACGCUGAGGUGCGAAAGCGUGGGGAGCAAACAGG
rnacentral:rRNA from 1 species